rnacentral:ribozyme from 1 species
GGUUGCACAUUUGAGGUCAUAGCAGAAGUGCUCACAAUGCGGCCCCAUCAGAUUCUAACAAAUCUGUGAAUUCUGCU